UAGAGACUCAUUUUCGGCUUAUAAAUAACAGAGCUCUCAGCAUCAUAGGCACUUGUAAGUUGCGAGGGGUUGGGGUUGUUGGGUUAGCUGGGCGGCCCAAAAGGCUAUUUGUGUUUCCCUUUCCUCCCCGUCAACUCUGAGCCUCCACCGUUCCUUCGUUUCUCUGCUCCUCUGCAAAGACCUUCCAUUACAACACAACCUCCUUAGCCACCCCCACCACUGCCGUGCCACUCACAACCACAGAGACACUCCUGAUUAGAGGCUAUCAGGGAGAAGAUACUCUUGUCUCUCUGACGGCUUGGCCAUGUAUGUGCAGACUUCACCUUAACCUGCUCAUUCAUGCUCUGCCUUCUGUUGUUCUCUCCUUCCUUACAUUUUCUUGUUUAGUCUUCAAAAUUUGGAAGAAUGACAGAGGAGGUGACAAUGGUUUUGGAUGCUUCUUUUUUUUGGCUGCAAGGUUGCUGAUGCUAACAAGGACCAACCCAUCUUCCUCCAAGCUUCUGGUCACAAGAGCCAUCAGGGUGUUUGAAUUUCUGAUAAAUACAGAGUUUCCUACCAAAAAUUGUCUCCCCCCUUUUACUGUUCCUUUUCUGGCUCUCAGUGCGAGGUACCCAGAGAGGAUGCACUCAUGCACCAUCGGGUUCGGGGCUCGACCGUGCCAUCAACAUCAAGGGACACCUGGUGGCCUCGUGAGUGGUGGUAGUCUCACUUAGGGUCUAUAGCUUUCAGCUUUUCCCUCAUUUCGAGAGCUCUAGUGAAGAGGAGGCCCGCAAACCUACCUACAUAUUCUAGUUGUUAAUUUUCAGAUAAAAGUGAAUCUUCACGUAAGUGAAUGUACAAGAAUGUUUCUGGAGUAGGCAUCUAUUAAAUGAAGAGAAAAAAAAUAUAUCUCAUAUCCACAAAUUAG